ACCCCUCAAGCGUAGCUUGGUAUUGGACGUUCGCGGGCCCUCUUUGGGGGGCCUGCGCGUCCCAAAAGCAGUGGCGGUCCCCGGGGAUUUCGCGCGUAGUAAAUAUUAUCCCGCGUUGGAAAGAACCGAUGGGCCUUGCCAAAACACCAUAAAUCUCCAUGAUUGACCUCGGAUCAGGUAGGGAUACCCGCUGAACUUAA
rnacentral:misc_RNA from 1 species